CUCAUACUUAAACAACACAUUAAAUGUUUUUUUUUUCAAAAUUGCCAUUUUUUAGGAAUUUUUAAGCAAUUUCACAACAAAUUUUUCAGAAAUUUAGGAAAACUUCAGCACUGUUUCAUAGUUCUUGAACUAAAUUUCCAAUCUUCUAGCAAAUUUAACAUUUUGCAAAUAGCUUUUGCAUUUUCAGCAAUUAAAGUAAAUUCCAUCACCCUCUUUAGUAAAAAGCUUCAGCAUCUUCAGCGAGUACUUUCAGCAAAAGGUAUUUACACCAGCAUUAUUGCAGUGAGUGACUGACUUGUCGAGCGCUGGGAUGUUCCUCUUGGCUGUGAUGGCUCUGAAUCGGAGGAUGAUGUGAAUACACAGGAAGACGGCGAUGCUGUCGUAGCAGUCGGACACGUAGGUGGACAUGCUUUUCUACAGGAGGACACAGAGAGCAUCAAUCACAACAUUUAUUUUUUUACAUAUUUGAAACAAGGCCUACUUAGAUCUUGUGUAGAUUAGUUCUGGAAAUUGUCUCGAGAGCGAAGUAAGCAGAAAAGAGGGUUAUUCUACCAGAAACAUGCUGAGAGUUUUUCCCAUGAUGCUGUUGAACAGGUCGAGGGCGGAGUUUCCGGUGACCAUGAAGAAGUCGCACAGGAAGAGGAAUUCUCUGCAGCCGUUGUCCAGCAGGGCGUAGUGCUGGCUGCGAAACAGCGUCUCAUAGGGAUACUGGCAGAAGAAACAGAAAAAUCCACAACAAAAUUAAAAAGGCAUCAUUUUUUAUAACAGAAAACAUCUUAAUAUAAAGCUUUUCUAAACAAAAAAAUCAAAUCAAACUUUAUUUAUAGAGCACUUUUCAAACACAGUAAAGCAAAGUGCUUUACAGGCUUAAAUCUUAAAUUGUGUUGUAAUUUUUACAAUUAAAAAUAGCUAAAUUUUAACCAUAAAAAAAAUGAUAAAAAA